UGCUACAUACACGUGCCCCUGUCUGA
rnacentral:piRNA from 1 species